rnacentral:lncRNA from 1 species
AUGCUAUCCUCUUGCAUUUGUGUGUCUUUAGGUACUGCUGCAGGUACGGGUGACAACACAGUUAGUUUAAAUGGGUCUCCAGCUAAAGGGUCUUUCCCCACUCACAGCAGGGCCCGGUCAUGCACCAGCCACCUUCCCAGCUCAACUUCGGAGCCUGUGCAGACUCAGCAGCCCUGCUCCCUUAAAGGCUCUUUAUCUUCUGAUAAUAUUUACGCUGGACUACACGGAGAUGGAACUGGUACACAAGUGCCACCGGGGCAAGGGGCGACUCUGAAGCGACUUUGUCUUGGUAAAGAGCGUGGUAGCAGGUCUGGAGCUUCAGCAGGGGCUUCCAAUCAGUCACAGCAGCUGCCUGGGGGUGUCACACCUCCUCCACAUCAGCCGGUGAUAGGAUUGGCCCAAGCUCAAGCUAAUAACAGUAACAACAAAACAGGCACAUACAGUAGCACAUCCACGAGUGCCCACGAUAGCAACCUGCCUGAAGACUUACAACGACUAAUGGAUGACUGGGCCCAGGAGGUUCUGAUUGUCACCCACCGGCCUCGCACUAACUCUCUGAGUAUCACUCGACCCCAGCUUUGGGAUCAGGAUCCACUUCAAACAAGUGAACACCUUGCUAGGGCUUCAGAUUUAUUGCCAUGGACAGCUCCAGGACCUGAGGCCUGUAGUCUGCCACUGUCCUGGCCUGACGGCCCUGGGUCAACAAUGAUCGCCACGCCGCCGGCAGGGGCGCAUCCCUCUUAUCAGCAUCACUCUCCUGCUCCAUUCAGGGCCUUGCCCUCACCUCUCUCUAUUAGCCAGUGGCCUGGGUUUUUCUUUCCCCUUCCUUCAGGAGUCUUUGCCUUUCCUGCUGUGGCCUCAGCUCAGGAUACCCACAGCUCCAUUCCAGCACCAUCAUAUCAGCCAACUGACCCAAAAGCGAGGACUCUCUAA